UGAAAUAAAUGUGACUGUAUGUCCUACAUCCCAUUCCUGUUGUCUUCCAUGUCUCCUCAGAGCAUCUACUUGUUUCCAAAGUUAUUUGGGUCAGCAUUUUCCUCCACCCACCACUUAAAACUGAUUUGUUUCAUACAUUUGAAAUGUAUGAAAAGCCAGAAAUCCAGGACCCACCCUGGCCUGCUCCCUUUUUCUCACCUACUGUGUUAAGAUGUCUACACUUUUACCUCUGCUUGCCUGAUACAACCACCACCAGUCACCUCACAGAAUAACUCACUCCUUAAGAAUCUGAUCAGGAAUCAGCCUUCCCUGAUCACAAACACUGAGUUUAGAAGUCCCUCCACAGUGUCCCCCGUAACCCUGUGCUACCUCACUGCCUCAUAGUUUAGUGCCGUUUGUGUACAUGCCUAUCUUCGUCCAUGGAUCCAGAACAACUUGUAAAAAUGACUGUACUUAUCACCUUCAGUAUUCAAUGACUAAACUAUAAUUUUAACAUAUCUGGCAGAAUGAAUCACUUGGGGAUUUCUGCCAACACUACCAAUAUAUUACUCCUAAUUUGUAAUUAUUACUUAGCAUGGAUUAUAGUACCGGCUGUUGGAGAGCCAAUGUGGCAGACCCUAAGUGGAAUAAAAUGUCAGUAGCAGUCUAGGAGCAUAUAUUUAUUGGAAUAGAUCAUUCAUUCAUUUGUUCAUUAACUAAUUUGUUCAUUAAAUAAACAUUUAUUAAGCACUCAUGGUUUAGGACGCAUUUUGUCCAUUUACUCAUUCAUUUGUUCAUUUGACACAUUGUUUAUUGAAGUGCUAUUAAGUGUUAACAUUGUGUGUUUAUUGGUGAAUGUAACAGGCAUGUUUCUUCUAUGGGAAUCUUUUAGGAUAGUGGAGAUAACAGACAAUACAAAUGUAAACAUACAAAUGUAAGUUAUGUAAAAUGUAAAAUUAUGAGUUGUGAUAAGUGCUUUGCAGGAAACCAAAAAUGUGUAAUAAUAAAGAAUAAAAAUGAAAA
rnacentral:lncRNA from 1 species